AUAUUCUGAGAACAUGUGUCAGCACUGCUCUCUAAACCUGAAGCACUGGCGCACAUGGGCUCAUACUGAGGUCUGACAUCUCAAGAACCAGCACAAUCCUAGUGGAACUGAGAAGUGUUAACUAGAACAGAAGAGGUUUUGAGCCAUGGAAUUGGCAAACUCAAGGACAUGAAGCUCUGGUGUGGAUUCAGAACAGGAUGCAACCAGCUGGCAUCAAUAAAUGUCAUCUGCAGAGGAAAACAAGGGUCAAGAAAGUUUCCUUGGCUAUGCUGAGGUUGGAGAAAGUAAGAUGCCAGAAGGGUAAGAGCUGAAGUAAAAAUGUUUCAUACCAGAAGGCAAAAAGAUAAAUGUGGCCAGGAAUAAACUAAAACUGGAAAGGAGAGAAUUUCUGACCAUUUGAGGAGUGAAGUUCUGGCCUCCCCAGAAGAGGAGUAGGGAUGAAGAAUCCAACUUGCCCUCUGGUGGAGCUUUUCCCUGUAUGAGAAGAGGACAACAUGCUUAUUGGAAGAAGACAUGUGGUCCCAGGAGGACUGAAAGGGAUAUGACGUGCCCAUGUUUUCUGUUCUUCUCCCCACAAAGCCAAAGUAUUUGGCCCUGGUUUCUGAAGCAUCUCCCUGCUGAAUCCAACAUCGUUGCCUAUCUAAUUUGGAACACCACAUUUGUAAUUAAGUCUCGGGCACACGCAGAGGACGGAGGUGAUCAAUGGAGACCUUACCGGUUAUUUAUUUAACAAGGGAAACAAACCUAAACACAAAGAAGGAUGGUUAAAAAAAGAAUUUUUAAACAAACUCCAAGAACAGCAGCUGAUCCUUCUCUUUUGUAAACAAGGCCUUACUGUAAUCUUUUUAACUCUUGCCACAAGCCAGAUUUAUCUUCGGACAUCCUGCCCAGAAAUCACUGCACUUUGCAGCAGAAUAAACAUUCAAGGGACCCAGCCACACGGACACACACAGAGAAGGAGGUAGAGGGACUUGGAGAUCAAGAAGGGCUGGGAGAACAAGGUAGUGCAAAAAUGUUUAAUUAUGAUGGCACAUAAAAGAGAAAAAAUUCCAGAGAAAUCAAGUCCUUGUGUUGAUUGUGUGUGGGUGGAUAACUCACUUCCUUCAUGCUCUCCUCAUCCACUGGUGCCGCACACAACAUGCGAGGACUCCAACUCCUGUGCCUCCACGUCAUCUACUUAAAUCACUGAACUAUAUACAGAAAUAAAAGCUUUGAGAUAAAGCUGGCACAGGGAAAGAUGGGCAACUUCCCCAGCAGAGCUGUGGCAGUGUGACAAGCACUUGGAUCCCAUCCAGUGAGCUGAAGCAACUAAGACUCAGGCCUGAAGCUGAACUGAGCUGUUUGGUCCUGACAGAAACCUGCUGCAGUGACUGCAGGAGGUGGGGGAGCCCUUUGCCUGCAGAACAUGUGCAUUUCACCCACACAGCCUUGGGGCCAGCCCACUGAGCCACUGAGCACCCCAGUGGGACAAGGAAGCACCCAGUACUGCUCCUUUUUAUUUUUAAAGUGCAAACUUCUGGGCAAAUGCCCAGGAAUUCAAAGCUGGGUGCAGAAGUAAUAAAAGAUUA